CAAAGGGUUUCUUUCGUUUAAAUUGAAACUCAAAGAGAGGGGUUCAUCGAUAUAUUCCGGGAAACCUGAGUCUGAAAUUUUGGUGGAUUCCAAAGUGGGUCAUUGACGUGGAUUAGACAUUGGCAUUGUAGAUUUAACGUUGGGCAAAACAAUUCUGAAGUGAUGACGGUGGUGGAAAAGGCACAACGGGUUCAAGUCAAUUUGGGCGUGGAUUUGUUAGGUUUAGGAUGUUCUCUCUUGCUGAUGCUUCUGGCCGAAGAACUGCAUUGGUGGCUUUGAGGAACUGCCUAUAUCUAAUUCCUUUGGGGUACUUGGCGUAUGAUUGUGCUGAUAAUAUGUCUCCGCCAAGGACUUAGCUUGGGAGGAUCUUAGAACUGAAGGCUCAUUUAUUUUUGUGUUGUAAAUAUCUUUUGUACAAGAUUCGGGCUUUUUAUUUGUAUUGGGCUUGACUCACUUUUGUUGUAACCAAGCAUCGACUUAGAAAUAUGUAGCCCAUAGGGCAAGAACUUCUAUUUUCUUCUUUUGUUCUAUGCAUAUCCGUCAUAUGCUAUAGAUUCAUAACUUAGGGUUAAUGAAUGUAUUAAUGCAUAUGGUGUCAUCUUUGUAUUACAUUAAAGGAAUUAAUAAAAGAGAGAAUGUU